rnacentral:rRNA from 1 species
GACCCGCCACACUGGGACUGAGACACGGCCCAGACUCCUACGGGAGGCAGCAGUGCCGAAUAUUGGACAAUGGGCGAAAGCCUGAUCCAGCAACGCCGCGUGAGGGAUGACGGCCUUCGGGUUGUAAACCUCUUUCAGCGCCGACGAAGCGAAAGUGACGGUAGGCGCAGAAGAAGCACCGGCCAACUACGUGCCAGCAGCCGCGGUAAUACGUAGCGUGCGAGCGUUGUCCGGAAUUAUUGGGCGUAAAGGCUCGUAGGCGGUUUGUCGCGUCGGGAGUGAAAACUCAGGGCUUAACUCUGAGCUGGCUUCCGAUACGGGCAGACUGGAGGUAUGCAGGGGAGAACGGAAUUCCUGGUGUAGCGGUGAAAUGCGCAGAUAUCAGGAGGAACACCGGUGGCGAAGGCGGAUCUCUGGACCUUUCCUGACGCUGAGGAGCGAAAGCGUGGGGAGCAACAGGCUUAGAUACCCUGGUAGUCCACGCCGUA